rnacentral:rRNA from 1 species
CCUACGUGUGGCAUCAGUGAGGAAUAUUGGUCAAUGGCCGGAAGGCUGAACCAGCCAUGCCGCGUGAAGGUCAGUGCCCUAUGGGCGUUAAACUUCUUUUGUUCGGGAGCAAUAAUGGUCACGUGUGGCCAGACGAGAGUACCGUACGAAUAAGCAUCGGCUAACUCCGUGCCAGCAGCCGCGGUAGUACGGGGGAGGCAAGCGUUAUCCGGAUUUAUUGGGUUUAAAGGGUGCGUGGGCUGGGAGGUAGGUCAGCGGUGAAAUGCCCCCGCGGAAGGGGGGGAGGUGCGAUUGGUACUGCCGUGCUGGAAUGCGGAUGCGGUGGGAGGAAUGUGUGGUGUAGCGGUGAAAUG